UCGUAGAGCUGGGUUUCUUUCCCCAAAGU
rnacentral:piRNA from 1 species